AGACGAAUGAAGCAUUGUGGGUUUCUCUAAGUGUUGCUGUUUGAGCCAUUGGUUCUCCUGGAGGAGUUCAUCAUGCCCAGCUUCCCCAGUGUGAGUUCAACCAUUGUCAUCGGAGGAGCUGGGGACCUUGUUGCGUCAGCGGGGAGGAUGUAACGGCUCUGCUCAAAGGAGCAUUGUUCCCGAGGAGUCACUCACUACCGUGUCGGGGGACCUUGUGGGGACCCAGAGGUGAGACGGACGCCAGGUGUCUUGCGCUCCACUUCGAGAGAACUCAUCCCAAUGACCAGCGAACUGUGGUGGUGGUGGAAAUGGACCUGGUGGGCAACCCCACGUCUCUUGACCUCCACCAGCCUCUCCUGCUUGCUGUGUAGGUGUGAGAGUGUCGCACGGACUCUGGACUCUGCCCAGUGCAGUCCCCCAGGGAAUCAGUCCCCGGCGAUAGUGUCCCCUCUGGGACUCCCCCACCAUCCAUGCAAGCUCCUGCUGCUGCUGAGCAGCCUCCCUCAGUGUCCCCAGAUGUCCGACACUCAGUGUGUCCAAACUGACCUGGUCACCGUGCCACCCUCUCCGUUGCUUCCAUUCCAGUACAGACAUCUCCCAGAUCCACCCUCGCCUGCCAGUUCCACUACAUGCUCUUCAUCUGGGCCCUCACAUCACUGGCCUCAGCUUUUGCAUUUUAACUGUCCACAUUUUGAAAUAAAAUCCAUCUUUAAAACUACCCAAGUAUAUUCUC